UAAUCUGUUUGCCUCCUUAUUUUUCAUUUUGUGUUAGAAUAUCAUUAAAAUCUCUACCUAUGAACCAUAGUCCUUUAUAAUUAUUAAAUAUUAACCUAAGAUUUUCCCAAAGGAGUAUUUCUGUUAACUAGAUAUGUGCUAGCAUAAAUGUCACUAAAUAACCAAGAGAUGUGGUUAGGGAGUACCUGAACUAAGGUAUCCAACUCUUGGUAAGUCUUCCUAGUGUGUUCCAUAACCACUAUAGUGUCCAUCUACAUAUUCACUAGACCACCAACUCUCCCUUGAGCUGGAACCUCUAUCAUGUCGGAAAAGUGGAAAUCCUCCUUAAGGGUUGCAUUUCUUUCCAAUUUAGUUUCUAUUAGAGCUAGUCCAUGCAGUGUUGUAGUUAUUGAUCAGCUCUCUAAAGUUGCACCUAAAAUCACUGUAGUCUGAUCCUCUAACGUUCCAAAUUACUAUGCUAGUGGGUGUACUCAUAAUUAACAAAUGGCUAUGGCGAAUAUCUCUAUUAGAGUUGGUUCUCCUGGUCCUGAACAGACUCGUUCUCAAAGUUGGAGUCAGUAGGACAACAUACUUUGCUGCAUCUCUGGUUAUUGGUGGUGUUAUCUCGAUCGAGCCUUUUUGAAGAGCUAUCGAGCAUCAGAAUAUGUAUUUCUUAUCCUCCCUCUCCGAGAAUAACAUAAGGGCUAUAUAUCUUGUUGUUGAGAUUUUUGUGAACGAGCUUCUUCCUGGUGGGGGAAGUAUCUCCAGGUCCUCCACCUCUUCCAUUUCUUGUCCUUCUUAGUCUGGACUUUGUGGUUGUUCCAUCGGAAUCUGCAUUUAUGAUUGUUGUUGUGUUGGUUGCGGUUUCCAUGGAACAAUAGGGGGUUCAUGUCUAUCAGUUCUUGAAGUUGGAAAAAGGGGAGGUCGAACAUUUAGUUCAUGUUUAUAAUGGGUUGAAGUAUUGUGGGAGAUUCCAAUGGAUGUGCAUGCCAUGGUACAAUGGCCGAGCUACUGCAGGUGCUAGUGGAUCAAUGAUAUUGGCCAUCCACGUAUGGUUUGUCGCACCUCCUUUUUUAUACUACGCCUCAUGAAGAGCGUAGAUAAGAGAGUUUUUUCAAAUAAAGGACAAUCGAAACGAGAUUAUUUAUUUAAUGAUUUCAGAGUCGCCACUUGGGAUAAUCUAUGGUGUCCUAAGUUACCGAUCUAAAUCCCAAAUCGAGGAAAAUAUUGAUUCUAUUCAACAGUUCGCAAAACAGAAAUCCGGGUAAGGAAUUUCGUUAACCCGAAGAAGGUGUUAGACAUUCUCGGGUUCCGUAGUUCUAGCACGAUCGCUCAACUGUUA
rnacentral:lncRNA from 1 species